CUUUAUUACAAUAUGGAGUAAGGUGGAAAGGAAGAUGGAGAUCCAGGCUGAGCAUUUAGAGUACAAGGUUCUUCACGGUUCCCUAUGCCGGUGAGAUGAAGCAUGUGUGCCACCAAGCUGAGGGAUCUGCGUUGGAGCCAGGAAGUGAUGCUCACGAUGAAGAUCACAGUUUGCCUGAUGAGGACAGCAGCCAUUCCCAGAGACAGUGAGGCCCUGAGCUCUUCCUCUGAGGAGAACAGCCAAGUUCACGUCAGGAAAGCCAUCUGCAGCAAACUUCUCCAAGAAAAUCAACAGCCACGAUCUUCCCCUCCAGUUCUCUCUUUGUGGCUAUUGGUAACAAUCUUCAGGUUGGUAAAGUCCCAACAAGAUGUCCUACCAGCAAAACCAGCAGCAGUGCCAGCCCCCUCCCAAGUGUCCACCCAAGUGCACCCCAAAAUGCCCACCGAAAUGCCCUCCAAAGUGCCCACCCCAGUACCCAGCACCGUGCCCUGCUCCAGUCUCUUCCUGCUGCAGCUCCAGCGCCUCAGGCUGCUGUGGCUCCAGCUCUGGGGGCUGCUGCAGCUCUGGGGGUGGUGGCUGCUGCCUGAGCCACCACAGGCGCCAUCACUUCCACCGCCGCAGGCACCAGGCUGCUGACUGCUGUGAGUGUGAGCCCAGUGGUGGCUCUGGCUGCUGCCCUGGCUCUGGGGGCUGCUGCUGAGCUGGCUCACAAGCAGGUGUUGGAGGAAUCCAGGGGUCUGGAACCUGAUGCAGCCUGAUGCUUCCUGCUUCCCAUUCCCUGUCCUGUAAACCAUGGAGCAAGAGGGAUCAUGAAGACUCAUGGAGAUUCCUGUGAAAAGCCUUUAUUUGACUGCAACCUAUGUGCUCUGCUGCCACCUAUAUCUUCUCUUCUUCCUUCCUUUCAUAUUUUAAUAAAGCUCUGAUUUUCUCCUCUCAAAAUGUCUUCUUUAUUCUGUGUGUGUGUGUGUGUGUGUGUGUGUGUGUGUGUGUGUGUGUGGCUUCUCUUGGCCCCCAAAGGUCAGACUCAGAGA
rnacentral:lncRNA from 1 species